UACGAGGGGGGCAAGCGUUGUUCGGAAUUAUUGGGCGUAAAGGGCGCGUAGGCGGUUUGACAAGUCUGAUGUGAAAUCCUCGGGCUCAACCCAGACGUCUGCAUUAGAAACUGUCGGGCUUGAGUAUGGGAGAGGUGAGUGGAAUUUCCGGUGUAGCGGUGAAAUGCGUAGAUAUCGGAAGGAACACCUGUGGCGAAAGCGACUCACUGGACCAUAACUGACGCUGAGGCGCGAAAGCUAGGGGAGCAACAGG
rnacentral:rRNA from 1 species